rnacentral:lncRNA from 1 species
AAGAUCCUUCAAGGCACAACAGAGGAGUGACUUUACAGAUCAGCAGCUUUGACAAAGUAGAGGAGCUGACCCAGGAUAGGAUUAGCUGGGGAGGCAAGCAGUGUGUUGUGAGCACCUGAUUGAGCUGGAACAAGACAGAAGAUGAGAAUAAAACACCCUUCAGCUCCUCACAGAAACCACUGCUAAACUUUGAGGGGGACAAGAUAAAUUUGAAGGAAGACAAUAAUUAGCUUUUCUCCUGGAGUGUAAUUCGUAAUUCAUUCUGACUGAAGAAAAAGGAGUGUUUGCUUUGUGGAGGAGGCUGAAGGUGUUUUUAUUUCCAGAAAACAUUUUUACUUUGAGAAGCACAACAUAAGGUACAUCUUAAUAUAUUACAGGCUGCACUGGCAUUCCUGGAACUCAGCAAUUCCUGUCAAUCACUAAGAGUUAAGGCCACUUCCAGAAAAUUUGAACUAUCAGCAUGGCAGCAUUAGUGCUGCAGGGACAAG